UACGUAGGGUGCAAGCGUUGUCCGGAAUUAUUGGGCGUAAAGAGCUCGUAGGCGGUUUGUCGCGUCUGCUGUGAAAACCCGAGGCUCAACCUCGGGCCUGCAGUGGGUACGGGCAGACUAGAGUGCGGUAGGGGAGAUUGGAAUUCCUGGUGUAGCGGUGGAAUGCGCAGAUAUCAGGAGGAACACCGAUGGCGAAGGCAGAUCUCUGGGCCGUAACUGGACGCUGAGGAGCGAAAGCAUGGGGAGCGAACAGGG
rnacentral:rRNA from 1 species